CACACAAUUUAGUUACGUUAUACUUCAUUCAAGCAUUGCUUUUCAAAAGUAGCUACAUGUUUUGUAAUAUUUUUGUUGUUAAUUUUAAUAAAUACACAGUGCUGUUUAAAUAAAAUAUAGUCCUACGAACAAGCAAUGGCCUGCGUUAUUGUGGGAUGUAAAUUUCAUUCUUCUCCUAAAGAAAAUGAAACUGAAAUCAUCAGCUUCCAUCGAUUCCCCAAAGAUGAUGUUAUGAGGAAAAAAUGGAUCCCAAUUGGCAUUG
rnacentral:lncRNA from 1 species